CAUCAAGAAGUGGAGAGACUG
rnacentral:miRNA from 1 species